rnacentral:rRNA from 1 species
UCCUACGGGAGGCAGCAGUGGGGAAUAUUGGACAAUGGGCGAAAGCCUGAUCCAGCCAUGCCGCGUGUGUGAAGAAGGUCUUCGGAUUGUAAAGCACUUUAAGUUGGGAGGAAGGGCAUUAACCUAAUACGUUAGUGUUUUGACGUUACCGACAGAAUAAGCACCGGCUAACUACGUGCCAGCAGCCGCGGU